rnacentral:rRNA from 1 species
AUUGAACGCUGGCGGCAUGCUUUACACAUGCAAGUCGAACGGCAGCACGGGCUUCGGCCUGGUGGCGAGUGGCGAACGGGUGAGUAAUGCAUCGGAACGUACCGUGUAGUGGGGGAUAACGUAGCGAAAGUUACGCUAAUACCGCAUACGCCCCGAGGGGGAAAGUGGGGGACCGCAAGGCCUCACGCUAUAUGAGCGGCCGAUGUCGGAUUAGCUAGUUGGUAGGGUAAAGGCCUACCAAGGCGACGAUCCGUAGCGGGUCUGAGAGGAUGAUCCGCCACACUGGGACGGAGACACGGCCCAGACUCCUACGGGAGGCAGCAGUGGGGAAUUUUGGACAAUGGGCGCAAGCCUGAUCCAGCCAUGCCGCGUGAGUGAAGAAGGCCUUCGGGUUGUAAAGCUCUUUCAGACGGAAAGAAAUCUCUCAGGAUAGUACCUUGGGAGGAUGACGGUACCGUAAGAAGAAGCACCGGCUGACUACGUGCCAGCCGCCGCCGUAAGAC